GACGAACGCUGGCGGCGUUCCUAACACAUGAAAGUCGAACGCGUGGCGGCCGGUUUAGUACUGUCUGGGAAACUGCCCGAUGGAGGGGGGUAACUACUGGACACGGUCGCUAAUACCGCCUACCAUCGGAUGUGCCCAGAUGGGAUGAGCUAGUAGGUGGUGUAACGGCUCACCCAGGCGACGAUCCCUAGCUGGUCUGAGUGGAUGACCAGCCCCACUGGAGCUGAGAAACGGUCCAGACUCCUACGGGAGGCAGCAGUGGGGAAUAUUGCGCAAUGGGGGCAAGCCUGAGGCAGCCAUGCCGAGUAUAUGAAGAAGGCCUUCGGUUUGUAAAGUACUUUCAGCGAGGAGGCGUUACUCGCAGAAGAAGCACCGGCUAACUCCGUGCCAGCAGCCGCGGUAAUAC
rnacentral:rRNA from 1 species